rnacentral:rRNA from 1 species
AGGGUUUGAUUCUGGCUCAGAAUGAACGCUGGCGGCAUGCCUAACACAUGCAAGUCGAACGAGAUCUUCGGAUCUAGUGGCGCACGGGUGAGUAACGCGUGGGAACCUACCUUUUAGUACGGGACAACGUUUGGAAACGAACGCUAAUACCGUAUACGCCCUCCGGGGGAGAGGUCAGCCGCUAAAAGAGGGGCCCGCGUCUGAUUAGCUUGUUGGUAAGGUAAUGGCUUACCAAGGCUACGAUCAGUAGCUGGUCUGAGAGGAUGAUCAGCCACACUGGGACUGAGACACGGCCCAGACUCCUACGGGAGGCAGCAGUGGGGAAUAUUGGACAAUGGAGGCAACUCUGAUCCAGCAAUGCCGCGUGUGUGAUGAAGGCCCUAGGGUUGUAAAGCACUUUCAACGGUGAAGAAUGAAUGACGGUAGCCGUAGAAGAAGCCCCGGCUAACUUCGUGCCAGCC